rnacentral:rRNA from 1 species
UCUGCCCUUCACUCUGGGACAAGCCCUGGAAACGGGGUCUAAUACCGGAUAUCACUUCCCCUCGCAUGGGGGGGGGUCGAAAGCUCCGGCGGUGAAGGAUGAGCCCGCGGCCUAUCAGCUUGUUGGUGAGGUAAUGGCUCACCAAGGCGACGACGGGUAGCCGGCCUGAGAGGGCGACCGGCCACACUGGGACUGAGACACGGCCCAGACUCCUACGGGAGGCAGCAGUGGGGAAUAUUGCACAAUGGGCGAAAGCCUGAUGCAGCGACGCCGCGUGAGGGAUGACGGCCUUCGGGUUGUAAACCUCUUUCAGCAGGGAAGAAGCGAAAGUGACGGUACCUGCAGAAGAAGCGCCGGCUAACUACGUGCCAGCAGCCGCGGUAAUACGUAGGGCGCAAGCGUUGUCCGGAAUUAUUGGGCGUAAAGAGCUCGUAGGCGGCUUGUCACGUCGGGUGUGAAAGCCCGGGGCUUAACCCCGGGUCUGCAUUCGAUACGGGCUAGCUAGAGUGUGGUAGGGGAGAUCGGAAUUCCUGGUGUAGCGGUGAAAUGCGCAGAUAUCAGGAGGAACACCGGUGGCGAAGGCGGAUCUCUGGGCCAUUACUGACGCUGAGGAGCGAAAGCGUGGGGAGCGAACAGGAUUAGAUACCCUGGUAGUCCACGCCGUAAACGGUGGGAACUAGGUGUGGGCGACAUUCCACGUCGUCGGUGCCGCAGCUAACGCAUUAAGUGCCCCGCCUGGGGAGUACGGCCGCAAGGCUAAAACUCAAAGGAAUUGACGGGGG